CCUUUAUGGAGAGUUUGAUCCUGGCUCAGGACGAACGCUGGCGGCGUGCCUAAUACAUGCAAGUCGAGCGGAGUUGUCCCUUCGGGGAUGGCUUAGCGGCGGACGGGUGAGUAACACGUAGGCAACCUGCCCUCAAGACCGGGAUAACAUUCGGAAACGAAUGCUAAGACCGGAUACGCAAGCCUGGGGCAUCUCGGGCUUGGGA
rnacentral:rRNA from 1 species